GUGUCGGAGUGGAGUUCGUUUGGAAUUAUGAGCACAUUUUUCAGCUUUGGCGUUGUUUGUGUGGUGUUAAAAUGCGUUUUGGCGCCGUGUUGCUGUUGGUUGUCGUCGUGUGUCCGUCGCUGUUCGAGUGCUGCUGUACAACGUGUCAGGUGAUAAAUCAGACUGGUCAUGCCGAGGGGCAGUGCCCUGUGAAAA